rnacentral:rRNA from 1 species
AAUAGAUACCCGGGUAGUCCACGCCGUAAACGAUGUCGACUUGGAGGUUGUUCCCUUGAGGAGUGGCUUCCGGAGCUAACGCGUUAAGUCGACCGCCUGGGGAGUACGGCCGCAAGGUUAAAACUCAAAUGAAUUGACGGGGGCCCGCACAAGCGGUGGAGCAUGUGGUUUAAUUCGAUGCAACGCGAAGAACCUUACCUACUCUUGACAUCCAGAGAACUUAGCAGAGAUGCUUUGGUGCCUUCGGGAACUCUGAGACAGGUGCUGCAUGGCUGUCGUCAGCUCGUGUUGUGAAAUGUUGGGUUAAGUCCCGCAACGAGCGCAACCCUUAUCCUUUGUUGCCAGCGGUUCGGCCGGGAACUCAAAGGAGACUGCCAGUGAUAAACUGGAGGAAGGUGGGGAUGACGUCAAGUCAUCAUGGCCCUUACGAGUAGGGCUACACACGUGCUACAAUGGCGUAUACAAAGAGAAGCGACCUCGCGAGAGCAAGCGGACCUCAUAAAGUACGUCGUAGUCCGGAUUGGAGU